GCCAUUGUCUCAAACAAUCACCAAUCACCAAACCAAAUUCUCUUUCGCGCGAGAAAUGAAAACGAAAUGAUAAUGUUAAUGUAAAUGGAAAUGCUCGUACGCGCCUGUGUAUUUAAUGGAAGUAGCAGUAUUGCACGCUAACGUGCGCCGAGGGUGCCGAAACGAAGCGGAAUGAAGGAGAUUUUUUGAUUGGGAAAGGAAGAGGAAGCACUAUGCACGGACAGAGAAAGUAUGCGAUAUGCGAGUGACCCGAUAGCCCCACAUUCAUUUGGGGAGCG
rnacentral:misc_RNA from 1 species